GAAUAGCAUAAGGGGUGCCCAGGUGUCGUUCUCUCUUUUCUUUCUUUCUUUUCUUCUUUAUUUCCUUUUUGAGAACGCACACCUGAGCUGAGAUUAUACCCUAACUACCAGAUCAGGAUAAUGCCUGCGAUGGGAAAUACUGUGCUAUUCGU
rnacentral:ncRNA from 1 species